UGCCAUGCUUAGUACUAGCGGUCAAAUUAUCCCUCAAAUGGAGACUCCCUCUCAAAUGGAUGAUGAUGGCCCAAGCAAUAAUGAUUGGACUCCACAAGUGGGUAUGGAAUUUAAUGAUGUUGAUGA